rnacentral:rRNA from 1 species
UACGGGGGGGCAAGCGUUGUUCGGAAUUACUGGGCGUAAAGGGUUCGUAGGUGGCCAACUAAGUCAGACGUGAAAUCCCUCAGCUUAACUGGGAACUGCGUCUGAGACUGGAUGGCUUGAGUGCAGGAGAGGAACGCGGAAUUCCAGGUGUAGCGGUGAAAUGCGUAGAUAUCUGGAGGAACACCGGUGGCGAAGGCGGCGUUCUGGACUGCUACUGACACUGAGGAACGAAAGCCAGGGGAGCAAACGGG